rnacentral:tRNA from 1 species
GUUGGUUUAGCUUAAUAGAGUGUGAAGUUGAAGGCUUUAAGGUUAAUAUCAAUA